CAUUAAGAAGCUAUGAACAAGCACUAGCCUUUUAAGCUAGAGAAAGAGGAUCCCUUCCUCCUUAAUGA
rnacentral:tRNA from 1 species